GAUCAUAAACAUUAUCUUUAAAGCUGCUGUAAAGAGAACAGUGGGGACGUGUUUUAUAGUACUACAGCUGUUGGCGCGCCGGUAGUGUUUGUUAUUUGUUAGAUGCGCGUGUACAGUUAUCGGCUGUAGAGAUCCUGCUGAGUGCACAGGAUGACGUCUACAAAAUAGAUCAAGCUGUCUAGAGGAGUUGACUUUAAGCAUGAAUCCUCUGGGUGAUGGUUGAACACAAGCAUUAGCGAGUCUUCUGUCCGCAUGUCCCCUGCUCUCCACUCUGUCCCUGCAAGCUUGUGGCCUCUCUGCACGCUUCCUGCAGUAACACCGUCUGUUCUUAGCCAACACCAUGGCCAGUGUCUUCCUGUUUGUCCCUCUCUUGUGUCUUUAGACUUGUCUGCUAACCCUUCAGUGUCUUCAGUUGGGCUUCAGAGUCUCCUUAAUGCCCUCAUGGAGACCCAACGACCUUUGACCCAUCUCAGUCUUCAAGGCUGUCAGGUGUCAGGACCUCUGGGUGAUGUUUGUUUAGAAAGUCUUGUGUUUGUGCUCCCAGAGUCUGAAUAAACUAGACCAGGAUGCACUGCAGCAGAGCUGGAGAAGGAGAUCAGAACCCAUGCAUGUGUUUUCUCGCAACUUCAAAUGCAUGCUGAGCAUCACCGCAGCUUCACAGUAAACUCUUUCCGGCAGUAGCAUUAGUCUAAUGGACAAAUUCUUGAAAACAUUAAAUAAGGUCUAAUUGUAGCAUGGGUGCUGUCAUUAUGUAUUUUUUUAUUGUAAUUAUUUGUAUGGACACGUAUAUUUGUUUAUAUUUGACUCAAACCCAUUUUAUUCUAUUUAGUGCAAAUUCUUUAUUGCUGAUUUUUUGCAAAGUUUGAAAUGGCCAAGGGAUAUUAAUGUGUGGCAUGGUGCUUAUGGAACAAGAAACGGACCAAUAAUUAUUAAUUCAGGCAUCCUCUGUUUGUAAAAGUAUCUCCAAAAAUCGGAAGAGCAAAAA